GACGAACGCUGGCGGCGUGCCUAAUACAUGCAAGUCGAACGCAGUGGGGACGGUUGAUUAACACGUGGGUAACCUCCCAUCAGACGAGAUAACACUUGGAAACAGGUGCUAAACCGAUACUGAUUGAUGUACCCGCGGGGCAUUAGCUAGUCGGUGAGGUAACGGCUCACCAAGGCCACGAUGCAUAGCCGAUCUGAGAGGGUGAUCGGCCACACGGGGACUGAGACACGGCCCAGACUCCUACGGGAGGCAGCAGUGGGGAAUCUUGGGCAAUGGGCGCAAGUCUGACGGAGCCAUGCCGCGUGAAUGAAGAAGGUUUUCGGAUCGUAAAGCUCUGUUGGUAGCGAAGCGGUAUCUACACAAGAAGCAACGGCUAACUACGUGCCAGCAGCCGCGGUAAUAC
rnacentral:rRNA from 1 species